GGAAGAAGAUAUGACGGUACUUGAGGAAUAAGCCACGGCUAAUUCCGUGCCAGCAGCCGCGGUAAUACGGGAGUGGCAAGCGUUAUCCGGAAUUAUUGGGCGUAAAGCGUCCGCAGGCGGCUUAUCAAGUCUGCUGUUAAAGCGUGGAGCUUAACUCCAUCAGGGCAGUGGAAACUGAUAGGCUUGAGUAUAAUAGGGGUAGAGGGAAUUCCCAGUGGAGCGGUGAAAUGCGUAGAUAUUGGAAAGAACACCAAUGGCGAAGGCGCUCUGCUGGGCCAUUACUGACACUCAGUGACG
rnacentral:rRNA from 1 species